UAAUUGAUAGUUUAUGAUAAUAAUAAUAAUAACACCCCCCAGGAUCAAAUGUUAUCAUGACCAAGCAAUGAAAUUGAGAUGAGAACAUCCAAGACACCGUUCAACAACCUUUAGAUGCGAUAAGAAUACCAUAGCAGUAAGAGGGUCAUACCAGGUUGAGACACGAGGGUUGGAAGCAGGACUCCUUUGCACACCUACUGCGCGAUGAGAACUCAACAGGAACUCGUUUGAGAAAAUCGAAACCCCAGGAGACGGUUGCGAUCUGUCAAACGAUGAGGAAUAGGAGAACAAAGGGUAGAACAAGAAGCGGAAGCCCCACAAAUAUAAGAAGAAGAGGAAGACGGUGGUGGAUCUUAUACGGCGUGCAGCACUGUUUUAGAUGGUUGCCUAUCCAUAAUUGACUCACUCAGUCGUUCGUCUACUUCUCGUCUAUGCCGUUGAGCAAACGUCGAGCUUGCUUUAGAGAGACGUGAAUGAGGAACACAAAGUAGGUGCUGAUGUAGUAUUGGUAAGAAUAAUGACAGUUGAACUUCUUGUGAAGUUUUGCUUGUGUAAUUCCCCUUCGAUCUCUACGUAGAAAAUUAAGGCUAGAGCUGACUUCGUGAUCGCCAAUAACGUUGACCUGAAGAGCGGAGGCCACACGGGUAGCUCGAGGCGACUGUAAUUUUACAGUAAUUGUCAGAGUCCUCACACCAUUUUCCAUCAUUUUCAAAAAUAUUAUUAAAUUUUAAGAAAUCUGGUGUGACGAGUUGAACUGACCUCAUCUGAUCUGCUUUCGAAAGCCUGUUUUAUCCAUAUAUGAUGAGAGAGAUGUACUUCUCCGACAAAUAAAUACAAG
rnacentral:lncRNA from 1 species